rnacentral:tRNA from 1 species
CACUAUGAAGCUAACCAAGCAUUAACCUUUUAAGUUAAAGAUUGAAAGUAAAAUCUUUCCAUAGUGAA